AAUACGAAGGUGGCAAGCGUUGUUCGGAUUUACUGGGCGUACAGGGUGCGUAGGCGGUUCGGUAAGCCCUCCGUGAAAGCUCUAGGCUUAACCUAGAAAGUGCGGAGGGGACUGCCGGGCUAGAGGACGGGAGAGGAGCGCGGAAUUCCCGGUGUAGCGGUGAAAUGCGUAGAGAUCGGGAGGAAGGCCGGUGGCGAAGGCGGCGCUCUGGAACGUUUCUGACGCUGAGGCACGAAAGCGUGGGGAGCAAACAGGAUUAGAUACCCUGGUAGUCCACGCCCUAAACGAUGGACACUAAGUGUCGGCGGGUUACCGCCGGUGCCGCAGCUAACGCAGUAAGUGUCCCGCCUGGGAAGUACGGCCGCAAGGUUGAAAC
rnacentral:rRNA from 1 species